UAAUCCGACUGUAACAUUUCUUUCAUUUUGACGUUCUCGUGUAACCGUAUACGCCUAAGUCGCAAAUGUAAACAAACACUUUGGUGGGUCCGGUGGUGCUGGUGAGUCUAGGACGCAAAGCAAAGCCGACCGCGGCAGCAGCCAGGACUCGGACGCGGAAACCUUCGUGAGCCAAACAGCAGCAGCGGAACGCCUUCGAAGGAGGGUGGUGCAGGAGCGGGACGAGGUCGAGUGCUCGAAAAGGACAAGGCCAGCUUCCUGCAAGAACUGCAGCUGUUCCACGGCCGGAAUGCGAUGAGAGGUAGGAAUGUGGAUUCGCACCGGUUGUAUUGGGUGGUGGUGGCCCGGGAUUGGUGGUUGAAGGUCAAUUCGCGUGAGGACUGGGCGAGAUCAUCGAGGAGAUGGCGCUGCCGAAGCGUUGCGUGAACAACGAGAUUGCGUUGAAGAAGAUUAACUUCCGGUUUUUUGGACAAGUAUGCGAAAGUUUAUUUUCACGAUGAGCCUCCGGCGAAGAGGAGGACGACGAAAAGCUACAUAAUCGGAGGUGGUCAGCGCAGAUGUUGCACUCGGUGCCGGCGGUUUACAGCACCGUUUUCGGAGAGAUUGAGAGACUCAGUGGUGAGAGCGUACAGUCGAGGAAAAGGGGAGGAGUGAUAGAGAGAGAAUGACAUCGCUGGGAAUCACGAGAUACAAGAGAGGAUCUCACAAGCUAUAGUGACGGCCGCUAUACUCUCAGAUGUUUUUGGUGUAGAGAUAAUCAAUUGAUAGCUUUUCUAUCACUCAUUUGCAACACUGCCGCAACUUCCCGCCCACAAACACUCACGUCGCGACGGCGUAGCUUCAGCCGAAUGAAUCUGGACAGUGAGCCAAAAAAAAUCUGUGUCAUUCUCGAAGUAGGAUUACGUGCUCAAAAUCGAACUCCGUUCCGAGGGCCUCAUCAACUCCAUGU